rnacentral:rRNA from 1 species
CAGUCGAGCGAACUGACGAGGAGCUUGCUCCUGUUGACGUUAGCGGCGGACGGGUGAGUAACACGUGGGUAACCUACCUAUAAGACUGGAAUAACUCCGGGAAACCGGGGCUAAUGCCGGAUAACAUAUCGAACCGCAUGGUUCGAUAGUGAAAGACGGUCUUGCUGUCACUUAUAGAUGGACCCGCGCCGUAUUAGCUAGUUGGUGAGGUAACGGCUCACCAAGGCAACGAUACGUAGCCGACCUGAGAGGGUGAUCGGCCACACUGGAACUGAGACACGGUCCAGACUCCUACGGGAGGCAGCAGUAGGGAAUCUUCCGCAAUGGGCGAAAGCCUGACGGAGCAACGCCGCGUGAGUGAUGAAGGUCUUCGGAUCGUAAAGCUCUGUUGUUAGGGAAGAACAAAUGUGUAAGUAACUGUGCACAUCUUGACGGUACCUAACCAGAAAGCCACGGCUAACUACGUGCCAGCAGCCGCGGUAAUACGUAGGUGGCAAGCGUUAUCCGGAAUUAUUGGGCGUAAAGCGCGCGUAGGCGGUUUUUUAAGUCUGAUGUGAAAGCCCACGGCUCAACCGUGGAGGGUCAUUGGAAACUGGAAAACUUGAGUGCAGAAGAGGAAAGUGGAAUUCCAUGUGUAGCGGUGAAAUGCGCAGAGAUAUGGAGGAACACCAGUGACGAAAGGCGGCUUUCUGGUCUGUAACUGACGCUGAUGUGCGAAAGCGUGGAGAUCAACAGGAUUAGAUACCCUGGUAGUCCACGCGUAACGAUGA